rnacentral:rRNA from 1 species
AACGAACGCUGGCGGCAUGCCUAACACAUGCAAGUCUAACGAGACCUUCGGGUCUAGUGGCGCACGGGUGCGUAACGCGUGGGAACCUUCCCUUAGGUUCGGAAUAACUCCCCGAAAGGGGUGCUAAUACCGGAUAAUGUCUUCGGACCAAAGAUUUAUCGCCUUUGGUUGGGCCCGCGUUGGAUUAGCUAGUUGGUAUGGUAAAAGCCUACCAAGGCGACGAUCCAUAUCUGGUCUGAGAGGAUGAUCAGCCACACUGGGACUGAGACACGGCCCAGACUCCUACGGGAGGAAGCAGUGGGGAAUAUUGGACAAUGGGCGAAAGCCUGAUCCAGCAAUGCCGCGUGAGUGAUGAAGGCCUUAGGGUUGUAAAGCUCUUUUACCCGGGAUGAUAAUGACAGUACCGGGAGAAUAAGCUCCGGCUAACUCCGUG